GACGAACGCUGGCGGCGUGCUUAACACAUGCAAGUCGAACGGAAAGGCCCUGCUUUUGUGGGGUGCUCGAGUGGCGAACGGGUGAGUAACACGUGAGUAACCUGCCCUUGACUUUGGGAUAACUUCAGGAAACUGGGGCUAAUACCGGAUAGGAGCUCCUGCUGCAUGGUGGGGGUUGGAAAGUUUCGGCGGUUGGGGAUGGACUCGCGGCUUAUCAGCUUGUUGGUGGGGUAGUGGCUUACCAAGGCUUUGACGGGUAGCCGGCCUGAGAGGGUGACCGGCCACAUUGGGACUGAGAUACGGCCCAGACUCCUACGGGAGGCAGCAGUGGGGAAUAUUGCACAAUGGGCGGAAGCCUGAUGCAGCAACGCCGCGUGCGGGAUGACGGCCUUCGGGUUGUAAACCGCUUUCGCCUGUGACGAAGCGUGAGUGACGGUAAUGGGUAAAGAAGCACCGGCUAACUACGUGCCAGCAGCCGCGGUGAUACGUAGGGUGCGAGCGUUGUCCAGAUUUAUUGGGCGUAAAGGGCUCAUAGGUGGUUGAUCGCGUCGGAAGUGUAAUCUUGGGGCUUAACCCUGAGCGUGCUUUCGAUACGGGUUGACUUGAGGAAGGUAGGGGAGAAUGGAAUUCCUGGUGGAGCGGUGGAAUGCGCAGAUAUCAGGAGGAACACCAGUGGCGAAGGCGGUUCUCUGGGCCUUUCCUGACGCUGAGGAGCGAAAGCGUGGGGAGCGAACAGGCUUAGAUACCCUGGUAGUCCACGCUGUAAACGGUGGGUACUAGGUGUGGGGUCCAUUCCACGGGUUCCGUGCCGUAGCUAACGCUUUAAGUACCCCGCCUGGGGAGUACGGCCGCAAGGCUAAAACUCAAAGGAAUUGACGGGGCCCCGCACAAGCGGCGGAGCAUGCGGAUUAAUUCGAUGCAACGCGUAGAACCUUACCUGGGUUUGACAUGGAUCGGGAGUGCUCAGAGAUGGGUGUGCCUCUUUUGGGGUCGGUUCACAGGUGGUGCAUGGCUGUCGUCAGCUCGUGUCGUGAGAUGUUGGGUUAAGUCCCGCAACGAGCGCAACCCUUGUUCACUGUUGCCAGCACGUUAUGGUGGGGACUCAGUGGAGACCGCCGGGGUCAACUCGGAGGAAGGUGGGGAUGACGUCAAGUCAUCAUGCCCCUUAUGUCCAGGGCUUCACGCAUGCUACAAUGGCUGGUACAGAGAGUGGCGAGCCUGUGAGGGUGAGCGAAUCUCGGAAAACCGGUCUCAGUUCGGAUUGGGGUCUGCAACUCGACCUCAUGAAGUCGGAGUCGCUAGUAAUCGCAGAUCAGCAACGCUGCGGCGAAUACGUUCCCGGG
rnacentral:rRNA from 1 species